GACGAACGCUGGCGGCGCGCUUAACACAUGCAAGUCGUGCGGUGUCGAAGGCAAGUCUUACGACAAGCCUUCGACACAGCGGCGAACGGGUGAGUAACACGUGAGUAGCUGUCCUAAGGAGGGGGAUAACGCCUGGAAACGGGUGCUAACACCCCAUAUGCCUCGCAAGAGGUGAAAGUGUACUUGCUACAGCCUUAGGGUGUGCUCGCGGCCUAUCAGCUAGUUGGUGAGGUAACGGCUCACCAAGGCCAAGACGGGUAGCCGGCCUGAGAGGGUGUACGGCCACACUGGAAUUGAGAUACGGUCCAGACUCCUACGGGAGGCAGCAGUGGGGAAUCUUGGGCAAUGGGCGAAAGCCUGACCCAGCGACGCCGCGUUGGGGAUGAAGCCCUUCGGGGCGUAAACCCAGUGUUGUAGGGGACGAAGAAAGUGACGGUACCUACGAGAAAGCCCCGGCAACUACGUGCCAGCAGCCGCGGUAAUAGUACUCUAAU
rnacentral:rRNA from 1 species